rnacentral:rRNA from 1 species
CAGCACCGAAGCCUGUGGUCAUUUGAUCACAAGGCAAUGUGGUGUUUAGGUUGUUCCACAGAGGUACCGCUCCGCCCUAAGUCCAUCACUGAGUACGGUUGUUUGGACCUGGCCCACAGAGGGUGAAAGGCCCGUUGGGGUGGAGAGCAGAUUGGCCGGUAUCUCUCUGGAUAAACCUUGGAGUCGGGUUGUUUGUGAAUGCAGCCCAAAGUGGGUGGUAAACUCCAUCCAAGGCUAAAUACAUACACGAGUCCGAUAGCAAACAAGUACCGUGAGGGAAAGUUGAAAAGUACUUUGAAGAGAGAGUAAACAGUGCGUGAAACCGAUCAGAGGUAAACGGGUGGAGUUGAACUGCAAGCUCCGAAGAUUCAGCUGGUGAGUGUGCUUUGAUCUUGGUCAAGCUGGUUGAACCUCAAAGUUUGCGUAAUGCAUGCCUUUACUUUACGGUGAGGGUGCUCGCUACACUUAGCAAGUGUGGUACGCUUUGUGUGUUCAUCGAAUCACUUGCCAGUGCAAUUUUUCGGAGUAGUCACCAUGACCGGCAUUUCUGUCGGGCUGUUGCGGUUAAACCGAUCAUACAUUGUCCUAGCGGCUAUGUUUGACUGGGAUGGCAGGUAGCUUGAAGGUUAGUUUGUGGUUCGCUGCAAGCCCUUCGAGUGUAAUCAGCCGACCGUGAUGGUUCUGUGCAGUAUGUCGGAGACGGCGGCCAUUGUGUACUUGCGUGCCUGGCUAGCUAGCGCAUUGGAGCUCUGGUUGUUGUGUUGUCUGUGAAUGCAGGCCCAGUAAUGGCUCUAAUACGCGUGGCUGGCGGUAGCGUAUGGUAUACGUUACAUGAGCCAACAGUCCAUGGUGUAGUGGUAGACUAUCCACCCGACCCGUCUUGAAACACGGACCAAGGAGAGUAACAUGUACGCGAGUCAUUGGGCUCUACGAAACCCAAAGGCGAAGUGAAAGUGAAGGUCUGGCUUGUCCAGACUAAGGUGAGAUCUUGUCGUUUCUCAUACACGGUGCCACCAAGCUUUGAGCGACAAGCGCAUCACCGGCCCGUCCUAUGACAUUUGUUUUCGAACAGUACCCAGUCGGGGCGGAGCAUGAGCGUACACGUUGAGACCCGAAAGAUGGUGAACUAUGCUUGCGCAGGUUGAAGCCAGAGGAAACUCUGGUGGAGGACCG